rnacentral:rRNA from 1 species
GAUGAACGCUGGCGGCGUGCCUAAUACAUGCAAGUCGAGCGAACAGACGAGGAGCUUGCUCCUCUGACGUUAGCGGCGGACGGGUGAGUAACACGUGGAUAACCUACCUAUAAGACUGGGAUAACUUCGGGAAACCGGAGCUAUUACCGGAUAAUAUAUUGAACCGCAUGGUUCAAUAGUGAAAGACGGUUUUGCUGUCACUUAUAGGUGGAUCCGCGCCGCAUUAGCUAGUUGGUAAGGUAACGGCUUACCAAGGCGACGAUGCGUAGCCGACCUGAGAGGGUGAUCGGCCACACUGGAACUGAGACACGGUCCAGACUCCUACGGGAGGCAGCAGUAGGGAAUCUUCCGCAAUGGGCGAAAGCCUGACGGAGCAACGCCGCGUGAGUGAUGAAGGUCUUCGGAUCGUAAAACUCUGUUAUUAGGGAAGAACAAAUGUGUAAGUAACUAUGCACGUCUUGACGGUACCUAAUCAGAAAGCCACGGCUAACUACGUG